rnacentral:tRNA from 1 species
UCCCUUGUAGCUCAGUAGGUAAAGAAUCUGCCUGCAGUGCAGAAAACCUGGGUUCGAUCCCUGGGGUGGGAA